rnacentral:rRNA from 1 species
AGAGUUUGAUCCUGGCUCAGGAUGAACGCUAGCUACAGGCUUAACACAUGCAAGUCGAGGGGCAGCAUGAACUUAGCUUGCUAAGUUUGAUGGCGACCGGCGCACGGGUGAGUAACACGUAUCCAACCUGCCGAUGACUCGGGGAUAGCCUUUCGAAAGAAAGAUUAAUACCCGAUGGCAUAGUUCUUCCGCAUGGUAGAACUAUUAAAGAAUUUCGGUCAUCGAUGGGGAUGCGUUCCAUUAGGUUGUUGGCGGGGUAACGGCCCACCAAGCCUUCGAUGGAUAGGGGUUCUGAGAGGAAGGUCCCCCACAUUGGAACUGAGACACGGUCCAAACUCCUACGGGAGGCAGCAGUGAGGAAUAUUGGUCAAUGGACGAGAGUCUGAACCAGCCAAGUAGCGUGAAGGAUGACUGCCCUAUGGGUUGUAAACUUCUUUUAUACGGGAAUAAAGUGAGGCACGUGUGCCUUUUUGUAUGUACCGUAUGAAUAAGGAUCGGCUAACUCCGUGCCAGCAGCCGCGGUAAUACGGAGGAUCCGAGCGUUAUCCGGAUUUAUUGGGUUUAAAGGGAGCGUAGGCGGACGCUUAAGUCAGUUGUGAAAGUUUGCGGCUCAACCGUAAAAUUGCAGUUGAUACUGGGUGUCUUGAGUACAGUAGAGGCAGGCGGAAUUCGUGGUGUAGCGGUGAAAUGCUUAGAUAUCACGAAGAACUCCGAUUGCGAAGGCAGCUUGCUGGACUGUAACUGACGCUGAUGCUCGAAAGUGUGGGUAUCAAACAGGAUUAGAUACCCUGGUAGUCCACACAGUAAACGAUGAAUACUCGCUGUUUGCGAUAUACAGUAAGCGGCCAAGCGAAAGCGUUAAGUAUUCCACCUGGGGAGUACGCCGGCAACGGUGAAACUCAAAGGAAUUGACGGGGGCCCGCACAAGCGGAGGAACAUGUGGUUUAA